GACGAACGCUGGCGGCGUGCUUAACACAUGCAAGUCGAACGGAAAGGCCCUGCUUUUGUGGGGUGCUCGUGUGGCGAACGGGUGAGUAACACGUGAGUAACCUGCCCUUGACUUUGGGAUAACUUCAGGAAACUGGGGCUAAUACCGGAUAGGAGCUCCUGCUGCAUGGUGGGGGUUGGAAAGUUUCGGCGGUUGGGGAUGGACUCGCGGCUUAUCAGCUUGUUGGUGGGGUAGUGGCUUACCAAGGCUUUGACGGGUAGCCGGCCUGAGAGGGUGACCGGCCACAUUGGGACUGAGAUACGGCCCAGACUCCUACGGGAGGCAGCAGUGGGGAAUAUUGCACAAUGGGCGGAAGCCUGAUGCAGCAACGCCGCGUGCGGGAUGACGGCCUUCGGGUUGUAAACCGCUUUCGCCUGUGACGAAGCGUGAGUGACGGUAAUGGGUAAAGAAGCACCGGCUAACUACGUGCCAGCAGCCGCGGUGAUACGUAGGGUGCGAGCGUUGUCCGGAUUUAUUGGGCGUAAAGGGCUCGUAGGUGGUUGAUCGCGUCGGAAGUGUAAUCUUGGGGCUUAACCCUGAGCGUGCUUUCGAUACGGGUUGACUUGAGGAAGGUAGGGGAGAAUGGAAUUCCUGGUGGAGCGGUGGAAUGCGCAGAUAUCAGGAGGAACACCAGUGGCGAAGGCGGUUCUCUGGGCCUUUCCUGACGCUGAGGAGCGAAAGCGUGGGGAGCGAACAGGCUUAGAUACCCUGGUAGUCCACGCUGUAAACGGUGGGUACUAGGUGUGGGGUCCAUUCCACGGGUUCCGUGCCGUAGCUAACGCUUUAAGUACCCCGCCUGGGGAGUACGGCCGCAAGGCUAAAACUCAAAGGAAUUGACGGGGCCCCGCACAAGCGGCGGAGCAUGCGGAUUAAUUCGAUGCAACGCGUAGAACCUUACCUGGGUUUGACAUGGAUCGGGAGCGCUCAGAGAUGGGUGUGCCUCUUUUGGGGUCGGUUCACAGGUGGUGCAUGGCUGUCGUCAGCUCGUGUCGUGAGAUGUUGGGUUAAGUCCCGCAACGAGCGCAACCCUUGUUCACUGUUGCCAGCACGUUAUGGUGGGGACUCAGUGGAGACCGCCGGGGUCAACUCGGAGGAAGGUGGGGAUGACGUCAAGUCAUCAUGCCCCUUAUGUCCAGGGCUUCACGCAUGCUACAAUGGCUGGUACAGAGAGUGGCGAGCCUGUGAGGGUGAGCGAAUCUCGGAAAGCCGGUCUCGGUUCGGAUUGGGGUCUGCAACUCGACCUCAUGAAGUCGGAGUCGCUAGUAAUCGCAGAUCAGCAACGCUGCGGUGAAUACGUUCCCGGG
rnacentral:rRNA from 1 species